GACGAACGCUGGCGGCGUGCCUAAUACAUGCAAGUCGAGCGGGCCUCCGGAGGUGCUUGCACCUCCGGAAGGCCAGCGGCGGACGGGUGAGUAACACGUGGGCAACCUGCCUUUUCGGCCGGGAUAACACCGGGAAACCGGUGCUAAUACCGGAUACGUCCUCGUUCGCGCCUGCGAGAGGGGAGAAAGACGGUCUUUAAGGCCGUCGCUCAAAGCGGGGCCCGCGGCGCAUUAGCAGGUUGGUGGGGUAAGGGCCUACCAAGGCGACGAUGCGUUGCCGACCUGAGAGGGUGAUCGGCCACACUGGGACUGAGACACGGCCCAGACUCCUGCGGGAGGCAGCAGUAGGGAAUCAUCCGCAAUGGGCGAAAGCCUGACGGUGCAACGCCGCGUGAGUGGGGAAGGUUUUCGGAUCGUAAAGCUCUGUUGUGAGGGAAGAACAGCUUCCGGAGGAAAUGCCGGAGGUUUGCCGGUACCUCACCAGAAAGCCCCGGCUAACUACGUGCCAGCAGCCGCGGUAAGAC
rnacentral:rRNA from 1 species